AGUAACGGCGAGUGAACCGGGAUGAGCUCAAAUUUAAAAUCUGGCGUCUUUCAGGCGUCCGAGUUGUAAUCUAUAGAGGCGUUUUCCGCGCCGGACCGCGUCCAAGUCCCUUGGAAUAGGGUAUCAAAGAGGGUGACAAUCCCGUACUUGACGCGACGACCGGUGCUCUGUGAUACGUUCUCAACGAGUCGAGUUGUUUGGGAAUGCAGCUCUAAACGGGUGGUAAAUUCCAUCUAAGGCUAAAUAUUGGCGAGAGACCGAUAGCGAACAAGUACCGUGAGGGAAAGAUGAAAAGCACUUUGGAAAGAGAGUUAAACAGCACGUGAAAUUGUUAAAAGGGAAACGAUUGAAGUCAGUCGUGUGAAAGGUAUUCAGCCGUCUCUGGCGGUGUAUUUGCCUUUCACGGGUCAACAUCAGUUUGAUCCGGCAGAAAAAGGCGGGAGGAAGGUGGCACCCUCGGGUGUGUUAUAGCCUCCUGUCACAUGUGUCGGACCAGACUGAG
rnacentral:rRNA from 1 species